rnacentral:rRNA from 1 species
AUUGAACGCUGGCGGAAUGCUUUACACAUGCAAGUCGGGCGGCAGCGCGGGGGCAACCUUGGCGGCGAGCGGCGAACGGGUGAGUAACGCAUCGGAACGUACCCUGUCGUGGGGGAUAACUAUCCGAAAGGAUGGCUAAUACCGCAUACGACCUGAGGGUGAAAGCGGGGGAUCGCAAGACCUCGCGCGAUAGGAGCGGCCGAUGCCGGAUUAGCUAGUUGGUGAGGUAAAGGCUCACCAAGGCGACGAUCCGUAGCUGGUCUGAGAGGACGACCAGCCACACUGGGACUGAGACACGGCCCAGACUCCUACGGGAGGCAGCAGUGGGGAAUUUUGGACAAUGGGGGCAACCCUGAUCCAGCCAUUCCGCGUGAGUGAAGAAGGCCUCGGUU